rnacentral:tRNA from 1 species
GGAGAGAUGGGUGAGUGGCUGAAACCACCGGUUUGCUAAACCGACGUACGGGGUGAACCCGUACCACGAGUUCGAAUCUCGUUCUCUCCG